UACAGAGGGUGCGAGCGUUAAUCGGAAUUACUGGGCGUAAAGCGCGCGUAGGCGGCUUUGCAAGUCGGGUGUGAAAUCCCCAGGCUUAACCUGGGAACUGCACUCGAGACUGCAUUGCUAGAGUAUGGGAGAGGGAAGUGGAAUUUCCGGUGUAGCGGUGAAAUGCGUAGAUAUCGGAAGGAACAUCAGUGGCGAAAGCGACUUCCUUGACCAAUACUGAAGCUCAUGUUCGGAAGCGUGGGGAGCAAACAGG
rnacentral:rRNA from 1 species